UACGUAGGCAGCGAGCGUUGUCCGGAAUCAUUGGGCGUAAAGCGCGUGUAGGCGGCCCGAUAAGUCCGCUGUGAAAGUCCAGGGCUCAACCCUGGGAUGCCGGUGGAUACUGUCGGGCUCGAGUCCGGAAGAGGCGAGUGGAAUUCCUGGUGUAGCGGUGAAAUGCGCAGAUAUCAGGAGGAACACCAAUGGCGAAGGCAGCUCGCUGGGACGUGACUGACGCUGAGACGCGAAAGCGUGGGGAGCAAACAGG
rnacentral:rRNA from 1 species